rnacentral:rRNA from 1 species
GAUACGUAAUGCGAAUUGCAGGAUUCAGUGAGUCAUCGAAAUUUUGAACGCAUAUUGCACUUCCGGGUUAGUCCUGGGAGUAUGCCUGUAUCAGUGUCCGUACAUCAAACUUGGCUUUCUUCCUUCCGUGUAGUCGGUGGAGGAUGUGCCAGAUGUGAAGUGUCUUGCAGGUGUCCUUCGGGUCGUCUGCGAGUCCUUUGAAAUGUACUGAACUGUACUUCUCUUUGCUCGAAAAGCGUGGCGUUGCUGGUUGUGGAGGCUGCCUGCGUGGCCAGUCGGCGACCGGUUUGUCUGCUGCGGCGUUUAAUGGAGGAGUGUUCGAUUCGCGGUAUGGUUGGCUUCGGCUGAACAGGCGCUUAUUGUAUGCUUUUCCUGCUGUGGCGUGAUGGACUGGUGAACCGUAGCUGUGUGUGGCUUGGCUUUUGAAUCGG